rnacentral:lncRNA from 1 species
GUGGAUCUAAGACAGCUCUGCUUGGCCCAGGAUUGUCCCAAAUGUCCUUUCAGCUACUUCAUUACAGGGAACGGGAGAGCCAGAGAGAGCAACUUCAGGCAAAAUGUUGACUCCUCGAGACGUGCCUUUGAUUCCAGUGCAAAAGGAUUGUACUAUAUCCUAUGGAAUUUGAAAACACUCAGUAUUUUCAUAUCUUAUUUGAUCUCGUGAAAAUGAAAAGAGUACUAAUAUCCAACUAGAGGCAAGUGGCAGAAUCCAGCUGAACAUACUUCACAAAUUCCACAAAAUUAAGGACUUUGCUAUUGGCCAAGAAAUGAUGCCUCAAAAUCAGCUCUAGGCAGAAAUCCUUUCUCUUCUCAAAACAAUAUUCUACCGAAGGCAAGUCUUAGUGUGGCGUUCCAGCACAGACACACACCAGAACGUACCAAGACACAUUGGAUCUCUGACUGGAACUUCGUUCAGAUGGAACAAAUGUAAAUGGUUGAAGAUAGAAAACUUAUUAUAGAUUUUACAUCCAGCCCAUGAGGAUUUUGACUGAUUCCAUUGAGCAGGCUCAGAAAUCUCAGACUAGAAACACACGACGUGAGCUAAAAGCAGUUCUGCAAUCUUCCUCAAGAAUGCUCAGACUGAUCCUCUUCCUUCACGCAGCUGAAAUGCCGCCACUUCCUAGGACCACACUAAGAGUGUUUGUGGAAAAAAGUGCCAAUGACUCAGUUCAGUUUUGUAAAGUACUAGCAGUUCUCUGGAGGAAACGUGCCAUAUUGAAUCCAGUGGCACCAAUGACACGAUCUACGGAGCUGCAGUGGAAAGAACAGUGAGCCGGUUUUCCACGGGGUUUUCUCUUGUUUACAUUGAUGUAGAUCCAGAUCCAGCGCAGAAUAAUCUUAUUUAUUCAAUCCUAAGACUUUUCUUUUUUAACAUAUUAAUAUUUCUGGAAUCAGCUAAUACAUUAUGUCAAAUAAACUUGCUAGUCA